UAUCAAAGGUAUGAAAAAGUCUGAGCUUGA
rnacentral:piRNA from 1 species